CCCCGCCCCGUUGUGCAUUGCUCUCACUUGGCAUUGCUUUUGCCCUUCAGGCUCCUACUCUUGCUGGUCACCCGCCUGAAGGGGUUGGAUGCCUACCCCAUGUCCUCAUUGUUACCUUGGUGCUAUUGGGAAACUUGUGUACAACCCAGCAGGGAAGGAGAUCACAAGGCAGAGGCCAAGAGCCAGUGCCUCGGCCACUCCAGCUUCCUAAGAUAAGAAACCAAGAGCGAAUCACAUGGAUGAAUGUCUGCUUCUGCAAGCCUUCUGGUCUCCUCUGAUCUCAGCAUUUUACCAAGUUCUCUUCAGGAUCCCUGUGGAAUGGAAUUGCUUUGCCGCGCCCUCCUCCUAUACAGUCUGAACAAAACUGUGACACAGCUCCCUACGAGUCUGCUGACUCAGUGAAGAGCAGGGUGGCAAAGUGUAUCACAGCCAGAGAGUCAGCUACGUCAGGUACCCUAAGGACAAGGCUGUGGAGGCAUGGCCUUCGUGCUGGGGUAAACAGGGAGGGAACUAUGCCCUUGGUUGCUGGGGAAAGAGGUUCAUUCAAAGAUACUGCCCUCUUACCAUCACCCACGCUGGUCACCUUGGUUUGGUUUUUAUGCUGGUCUCGGUAUGCCUUAUAUAAAACCACAAAGAAGUAUGGUUUCACACACACAGAAGUAUGAAGAAGCUCACUCUUAGGCACAACAGUGAUUCCCUCUUCCACAACAGCUGAGCGGAGGAUGCAGAAGGCAAUGGGAUAUGCAGGACAAAGAGUGGAG
rnacentral:sRNA from 1 species